rnacentral:lncRNA from 1 species
AGAGAGGCGCCGUGUGCGCGGGGCUCGGGAGAGCGCGGAGUCCGGCAGGCUGAGAGCAGAGCCUGAGUGCGCCGCCGGUUCAGCCGGGCAGGGUCGCCUCGCGCCAGGAUGCUGCGCCCCGCCGCCCUGUCCAGCCAGCAACCCUGGCGCGACCCCGGGAAGAAGCACAGGUUCUUUCGUCCAGUCGCCGCUGGAGGACCGAAAGUUUUGCUCGCUGCAAGUCUCUUCCUCCCAGAGUCCCAGUCACCCACCAUGCGACGUCCCAGAAGGAUCCCGGAGGCUUAGUGGGAACGAAAUCGGCUGUUUUGCACCCCUCCAUCCUUAUCCCUCAGGGUAGAGCAGGGACUCUAGAGAGUACACCUCCCAGCUACCAUCCACUUCACCCUGUCUCCUCUCUCGGUGAGCCUUGGAAUCCGGUCUCUUCGCAGAUGCCUUCAGGAGUCAGAAGCAAAGGGGAAAUGGACAUAACUCCGAGAAACCGAGUGAACGUCCAGCCUCAGCAACAGCUUUGCCACCAUGAGCUUCAUUGAUCACAUCCUACCACAACUAGGAGACCUAAACCUUGCUCACUGACAGCAUUUGAAGAUGCAAAUACUGCUAUGGAUUGGAAGGUGCCUGAGGAAUGAAAGGGGACAUAGCCAUUAUGACCCACCUCGUGAGAUUUUAGGGAAGAAAGACCAUAGUGAUUGCAUCUAUUAAGAAGCCCUUACUGACCUGCAUGGUGAGGCUCGUGUGAAAUUUCAGCAUGCGGGAGAUUGAGACAGAAGGAUCACAAGUUCAAGGCCACCCUAGGCUAUGUAUCAAGAACUUUUUUUGAACAAAGAAAAAAGAAACGGCAGUACAUAAUUUCUCCUAAGUCCAUGGUAAUUUGUUACAGUAGCCCCAGAGCUCUCCUUGCAGAUGAAGUAGAAGCCUGGGUCUAAAGAGACUUUGGCUUCCGUGUCUGACAUCUGAUCACGCUGAGGAAGACCCUGGCCUAAACUCUCCUGAGACAACAGCACCGAAGAACGAUUAAUCCUCCGGCGGUAGCGACUAGUCUAGUCUGUUCACUUAAAAGAAGCCAAACAGAAAACUGCCUGCCACCCUUAGCCUCACACCGACCAUGAACUAGAAUACGAAAGCCCCGCUUUGUGUUUGUGAACUCGUGGGGCUGAUAAGAAAGAACACAGCCUUGGAGCUAGAUGCCUUCUGGUUUGAAUCCCAAGCUCGAGUUUACUAAGUACAAACUUUUUCUCAGAAUCUGUGUCUGAUUCCUUAUAAAUAAGGAUAAUGUCUCUUUCACCAGGCUGCUGAGAUGCACCUGCCAUGUAUGGUGAGUUCAAUAAAUGUUUCUUUCUUUUCUGGCUUAGGUUAAAAAUA